rnacentral:rRNA from 1 species
GAUGAACGCUAGCUACAGGCUUAACACAUGCAAGUCGAGGGGAAACGAUAGAGAAAGCUUGCUUUUUCUAGGCGUCGACCGGCGCACGGGUGAGUAACGCGUAUCCAACCUGCCCACCACUUGGGGAUAACCUUGCGAAAGUAAGACUAAUACCCAAUGACGUCUCUAGAAGACAUCUGAAAGGGAUUAAAGAUUUAUCGGUGAUGGAUGGGGAUGCGUCUGAUUAGCUUGUUGGCGGGGUAACGGCCCACCAAGGCUACGAUCAGUAGGGGUUCUGAGAGGAAGGUCCCCCCACAUUGGAACUGAGACACGGUCCAAAACUCCUACGGGAGGCAGCAGUGAGGAAUAUUGGUCAAUGGACGAGAGUCUGAACCAGCCAAGUAGCGUGCAGGAAGACGGCCCUAUGGGUUGUAAACUGCUUUAUAAGGGAAUAAAGUGAGUCUCGUGAGACUUUUUGCAUGUACCUUAUGAAUAAGGACCGGCUAAUUCCGUG